CUUGACAUUACAUGUAUAAAAUAUGAUUUAUUAUCGUUGGUGAAAGAAAUUGUUCUGGUGUUGGUGAAAUAAAUUUCGUUUUAAUUAUCUCUGCAUGGAAGCCUUCAUUCAUUAUCCGUGUACGGGCCCAUUGAAUUGGUCAUUGAAAUAUAACUUUUUUUACUGAAAUAGUUGCCCAAAUAUUUGUGGCCCUCCCUUCUAGAUGGGCACAAAAAUAUUUGGCCCUCCCCAAAAGGGGGUCCAAAAAAUGGUAGCCCCCCCCCUAAAUUUACCGGCCCCCCCCCCCCCCCAAUAAUUAAUGACCG